UCUCUCUCUUCUCUUUCUACUAUUUUCAAAGCUCCGGCUAACUUAAGAAUUGAAGAAUCCCUCAUCAGAACACCUUGACGAGGGUGAACAUUCUUUGCACAUUUCCUCCAACAUCUUGGAUCCCGAAUGGCAUCCAGUUUCAACCACAUCAGCACCUUUCUGGAGUCAUGCGGUAACAAAUUGGUGCUAGAGAAAGGACCUCAGCCCCUUUCGAGAGAAAAUAGAGUAUGGUCCAAAUGAGAGCACAGAACUCCACCGCCUCCCACC
rnacentral:lncRNA from 1 species